AGAGCUGGAUGUGGUACAAUGCACUGCUUCUGGUAAGUAGCAGUCAGUGAGAAAUCAUAAUAGGUGUAAAUUACUCAAACCCUCCUCAGGCUCAGCUGACUGCAGGCCACAGAAAUGUAGCUAAAACUGAAGAGCCAGAGCUUUGGGAAACAUGCACGGAGUGUAGGGGAGGUUUUGCUCCACAUCUGCAGCAGAAACUUUAUGGUCUCUGCUCCUUUCUCAAAGACACCAGUAACAAUCCAAAUGAACUCAAUGCCCUGACACAGGACAGAGAUGCUCUAGAGUUGCUCCAGUCCCUCCGAGAGCAAGAUUUAUGUCAUACUUUUAUUCCCAAAACACAGUAUUGCUUCUUCUGGUUUCUGCCUGGAGAAAAUGUUUCUGUGUCUCUCUGCAGUUCUGAAUGGCUUUAUACGCGAUUAAGCUUUGCAUGGGAUUAAAAAAAAAAAAAGUUUUAAAAAUCCCUUAGAGUUCCUGUCAGUAUAGAAACACAUCAUUUUACCACUGGGCAGGCAUAUAAAUAUCUGAGAAGCGCUUUCCGUGCAUCUGGUGCUUUGCUGCGUUUCACCAGGAGAGGGAAGAGUUUGGAAAGGACUCCUGGCAGCCUGGGCUCCCUAUUGUGCUGGGAAACAGCGAAGGGAAAACAAGCACAAGUUUCUCCUCUGCCUGUUUGCACCGACUGACUAUGUGCGAGAGUCAGCAGAUGAACUCUGGAAGACCUUAAAGUAAACAGAAAACGGAAAGAGAAACCAAAUUCCAAAGCAGCUCUCUAGGGAAGUCGGUGGAAGCGAAGGGAGAAGCCGCGGCAGUCCGGGGGCUCAGCCCGCCGCUGUCUCAGAACUGUCACUCACUGCACGUUAAUCUGAGCUCAGGAUUUAUUUCUCUGCCGUGACUUCCCAGCUCUGAAUAGAUAUCACUUUUAGAGACAGAAUGGGACCUGAAAAGACUCUCGAGCACUGAACAGAGUGGCUGUACCAUUGCUACAAUUUAAUGGAGAACAAUGCUUACUCCAGUGAAAGGUCACCAGAAUUCAAUUUCUGUCUCCUCUGCCUCAUUCUGAUCAAGUGACAAAAGACACACACCAUCACAGUAAGCCGUGUCCUCUGGCAUUCCGGGGUUCUUCCAACACUUUAGUAUUUAAUGACUCAAAAAACUUUCAUGGUAAAAGCUGCAGGAAUGAAAGGCUGCAAUCUGAAAGAUCUGCCUUAAAUAAUUUUAAAAGGACAAUUUUUGUCUUGUUUUGUUUUGUUUUGUUUUCUUAGUUUGGCCAAGAAUAGGUUUAGAGAUGGUUUGAUCAAGUACUAGCAUAGAAUGGAAGUUCCAGGUAGCUGAGGGCUUGUUAAUGUAAAGACAAAAGCACAAAGUGCUAACUGUAGCAUACACUAGAGGAGAUGCACAAUAUCAUAGCAAGGAGUUAUCUUACCAUGAAAGGAAUUAAGUUUGGAUGGGCAGAUUUUGCCAUCUGGACUCUUGGCUACAUAAUAUUUCAAAGGAGGUGACUACUGAGAAGUCAGUCACUCGAAUGUUAGUACCCAGUGUAGCCGAGAUGGUGAGGGUGUCCCUCCUGGCCUGGCAUGAAAUCAUGCAUAUUUCCCAUAAGUGCUGUUCUGCCCCAGAGGUGAAGAGCAUCUCAUGGGGUAUGAAACUCCUAAACAUCCUCAAAUGAAUCAAGCUGAAUCGCUGUUAGUGGAUUUUGGCAGAGCAGAACUUUCAGGUGCCCAAUGCACUGGAAUUUGUUUCCAGCUGAGACCACAGAAUCAUUUAGGUUGGAAGAAACCUUUUGAAAUCCCCCAGUUCCGUCCCUCUGCUCAAGAACAGCCAGCUGAAGCAGAUUGUCCAGGAGCACAGGGUGAGCUGUCUGAGACAUCUGCAAGGGAUGGCAAACACACUGUAGGGAACACACGAGCCUUUCUGAAGUGCCUUCAAGAUGCCAAGAAAGGUGCUUCACAGCACCUGAACUGAUAAUAGAUGUCUGUGUUUGGACAAAUAAAUCCCAGCCUUGUGUCUGCUUGAACGUGCUUCCUGGAACUUCAGCUGCCUGCUGGGCUCCACCAUCAGCUUUGAGAUGAUCUCAGCUGACUCCAGAGGGAUCUGAGAGUGCACAGUGUCUUAAUGCUGACCUGCAUCUUCACUUCUCCUGAAUGCUUCCUGAAUUUGUAAUCACGUGGUGAGGUAUAGGGCACUUUGCUGAGGAAAAGCAAAGAGAAUGGUCUUAUUGUACAAAAAACCUCCUGCAGCUGAAUAGUUUUCUGCUACAAAAGAAUCAUAGAAUGAGUUUCUCCUUUGCUGCUUGAUUAGGAAAAAAAUACCUAUCAGAUAUAAGUAAAGGUACCUUAAUCACAUGGUAUUAAAGGAUGGUCCCACAGUCUGUGGCACAAGCACGAUGGUAUGACUUUCAGGCUUCCCUGAUAGAUCAGGGGGUGCCUGGAUCUGGCUGUAAAUCAUAGAAUCAUUCAGAUUGGAAAAGACCUUUGAGUUCAACUAUACACCUAGCAUUACCAAAUCCUGUCCUCAAAUCAUCAAUCUAAAUUACCCAACAUCUGUUUCUGAUCUCACAGAUCAAAAGAUGACUUGUGCCAGUUGUGUCAGUAGAAAAUGAGAUAAGAAACCAGCAGUGGGCCAUGUGUUCUGGCGCUGGAUCAGAAACAGCCAUGGGAGCAGAAUGGUGACUGUUUUCCAAAAUGCAAGAGACACUCCAGCAGCUCCUGCAGCCUUGACUCCUGCAGACAAUAACCCUGACAGUGCAGCCACUGCUCUGUGCAGCUCCCCUUUCUGUUCUCCCACCCUGAAAAGCCUUCCUCUCCACGACCCUGAUCCCUCAUGUAAAUGGAGACAGCAUUAUAAAAUGUGCUGUCAUCUAUUCUGGAAAUGUAAAUUCAAGAGUCUUUCAACAAGGACUUGUAACAGUGUGGUUAAUGUGUUCCAGCUGAUGAGGCUAGAUCAAGCCAAUUAACUUUUUUUCUUAGUUUGCAAGGAGAUUUACCUUCCAGGUUUUAAUAUUGAUAGUGAAAUGUUAGAAUGGCAUUUUCCUAAACCAUGUCAGUACAAAAUUUUGCUCUGUUACAAUACUUAAAGAUUGCUUCUAACUCCAUGAAUUUUGUAGCAUUUUAACAGGUGUUGUCUUGCCUAGCUUUCUCUAGACAGCUUCUCAUGCAUAUUCAAUUUGAACAAACAAAACUCUGAUGUUAUUGUCCUAGGAUUUCAAAAGGAGUGAAGAUCACUUGGAAUAGCUGAUGAUCAUGGUCAGUUUUCUUACUACGUACUAAAUAACUAAAUAAUGUGAUCUCAUAUAUAAAAUCAUCUGAAUAAAAAUAAAAGGCUAACCACCCACAUAACUCAAUUAACAAACCAUCAAGAUGCACUCUCAUGUUUAUUAUUGCAAUAAAUCUGUGAUUUAAAUUUAGUGGCAAAAUAUUUGCAAACAUUUACUCAAUUGCUGCAUGCUCUUUUUUUUUGUCAUAAGAUAAAUCAGCUGCUCAAGUAGUGCUAUAGCUCCAUGAUGUUUAGUGCCACACAUAAGUUUAGCAUCAUGUUCUUUAGUCCACACUGUGGCCCUGCAUAUAAAUGGUGUGACAUCAUCUCCUGUUAAUUACAGAUGGAGUGACAGACACAGAUUUUACUACUUUCAAAAUAGCAUUAACACUUGGUAGCAGUCAUGUCGUGAACUUAUCCCUCCAUCAGACUGCCUGGUAUGGUGUUAUAUUGCAGAAAAGAUACAUUGACAUGUUACUGGGAAGAACAGGAACAUCAAAGCUGCAGUGCAGUGACUGGAGAACAAAAUGAGUCUGAUUCAUCACCCUGAAAAAUCCCUUCUGAAACGUCUUGAAAAGCCGGCACAGUUGCACCUUUUCAGCUAAGAACAAUGAGAAAAGUCAGUGUGCAUGAGAGAGAGAGCAUUUGCCACUUGUCCAGGCUUGAUGGGAACAUGAAAGGAUGUACUGCUAGUUAGUAUGAAAGCAGAGGAGGAGAAUAGGUGGGAGUAGAACAGGAUUUAGAAGGGCAAUAGAGAGCAGGAGAAUAAAAAGCAGUACAGAGAAAGACGCUACAGAACGGAGAGGUAGAAGGGAAGGGGGUGAGAGACCUUUUACAUUUCCUAUUCCAUUCUGUCUUCUCACAAAGCUCCACUUCCCAAUUUCCUUUGUGUGACUUUCAUUCAGUAUGAUGAAAGUCAUUUUAGCACUUUUAGCACUGCCAGACACUUGCUAAAAACAAAGUGAGCCUGAGUAGUGAUGGUGCAUACAUGUAUGUGUGUAGUUUGUAUAUACACAUAUAUGUGUAUAAAUACAGUCAGUCUUGCAGGAUUUAUGAAAAAAUUUUAAGUGCUUUCAGAAGAGUUUGCUAAAGUUAAAACAGACAAAUCUUUUAAUAGUUACAUUUACCAUAGGGUAUAUCUAUAACUAACAUAUAUUUAGAUGUUUCUCCUUUGAAUUUAUGUACAAAACAUUUCUUCUAUUACUAGUUACCUUCUGUAUGGUGCUGAAAAUGUUUAUUGGCAGAAUUGCUGAAAAUGUUUAUUUACAAUCCAGAAGCUGACAACUAUGAAGAUAUGAAGCCAACUCCUUAAUGAGCUUCAAUCUAUUCCCAUAUCCCCAUUUACCCAUUUACCUCAGAAUGAAAUUGCCAUUCUGUUAUUUCUUCCACAGUCAGAGUAAACCUGCACAGACUUGAUUCACUUAAUUGGAAAAAAAAUGCAGCACAGAAGGAUAUUUCUUGUUCAUGAAAAUUUAUGGCUAUAUAUCCUGUCCCUUUAAUUUCUAGUUGGUAAUUCUUGUUAGUGAGUCCUACAGAAAAAGUCUCAAUGAAACUAAAAACACCAAUAAUUGCAAUGAAAUAAAUCCACUGUAUUAUUUUCAUUGAUAUACUGCUUUUCUGUGAUUACUUCUGAUAGGUAUCUGUAAGAAAAUCAAGGAGAUUGCAGUAAGGUUGUGGCUUAUGAAUCAAAAGAAUAUUUUUGUACAGGACAUGAUGAAAAAACAUUCUUCCAUUCUAAUAUAUUUCCUAAUAGUUCAGGGACUUAAACAUAUGGUUUAAUUGCUACCAAGUAAUCAAAGGUCAGGGAUAGCAUUAUAAUUCACUGCAGUGAAUGCUUAUUCUUUAAAACCUCUGUGAGAUAACAACUGACUUCCAGUUUCUGAUCUUAAAGUUAAGCAAAUGAAAAAAGAGUAAAUUGUUUUAAAAGAUUUGUGAAAUAAAUGUAGAGGAACAUCUAUACAUGUAUUUAAUUGGUUAUAAAAAUAUCUGUCAAUGCCAAGUACUCUAAAGUUCAUGUCUGUAAUGCUAAGUGGUAUAUAUAAGCAUUAUUGCUUUCCCCUGAAGAAAAGUGGCUACUAAGAGACAGCGUGUGUGGAUUUUCACAAAUGAGUGUUGAAAGUGCUUGGUUUCUGACUGUCCUGGUGGUGGAAGGAGGAUUCAAGCUCUCCACUCCCUGCCCUGAGAUGGACAUGGAUGUGCUGGUGUCUAGUGCUGGUGCCUGCACAUGCACAAGCUAAGGACGUGGCAGGGGGCUGCACAAACGUCUAUAAAAACCUUUUAUCUCUGCUCUCUAAGCAAAAUCAAAUGCCCAGCAGACUCACCCUACCCAAAUCCAGCCUGCUGGCUAGCAGCAGGAGAGCUCUGCUCUAUACAGGGGAUUAGUCCCCCAUUUAGCUCUUGUUCCUGAAGCAUUGACACAAAUCACCUUUCAGGGUGGACCUCAGGGAUGUCCCAGCUUUCCCAAUGUGUUGUUACUCUUGGCAAUUCCAACAAAGCUAAACGUUAAACCAAAUUGCCUAAGGGAGAAGAGAGGGAAAAUGUCCUAAGAAGCUAACCUGAUAAUUUAGUCUUCUGUGAAAAAAUAAAAAAGACAGUCAAGAAUGAUCUUUCUUUAUUUUAGACACAGUCAGAAAUUAAAAGGCAGAUUUUCCUGCAAGGAGAGAGCCCUGGGUGUGAUACAGGGCUACUUUCAGCCACAUGGAAUAGGGGAGCUUUGCUUUAAACUGUUAAGAAAAAGCACUGGAGAAGGGGACACAAAUGAAGGACCUGGCUUGCUUCUAGACAAGAAGAAAUAUUUCUUUAUGAUGGCAUGGUAGUUUACUUUUCUCUGUUUUAUCCCUACUUGGUGUAGAAUUUACAGCUCCACAGCCAAAGGUGGAAUAAGACAUGAGUAUUUUGCUUAUGCCAGCUUAGCUCUUCAACUUCCACAUCAUUGCCCAUUUCUUCAAUCCCAUUUACCCCAUUUUUGAAGGAGACAAAGUGGUUCAAGGUUUUAUGACCAGCUGACCUUUACUCUAGUGUAGCAACUGUUUCUCCCAGAUUGGUAUCAUCUGCAAUUUCUCCUUCAAUGGUGAUGGCAAAGUAGAGCUUAGAACAUAAUUUUUAAGAUGUCUAUUAGAAAUAAAGACAGAGAAGGCACUAUUCUUUCCAUGCAGCUUGCCACCCUGAGCUGGCAAGAGACCUCUUCUGUAGGUCAGCCUGGAAGAAGCUUGAAACAUUUCUGUCUCUCGUGUGUCCUUGUAUCCUUUCCUGAGAAGCCUCAGCUGCUCUUACACUGAGACACAGAGAUGCUCACCCUCCCACUGAGGGCCUUUAUUGACUUGUUAGAGACAGGAAGCAAUUUAAAAGCCUUUUCUCAUUUACCUAUUGACUUUCACAUCACUCCUUUAAAGGAUUAUUGGAUCUUGAGAUAGUGAGUAAUGAUGUUAUCACUAUUCAUUAAUCCUGAAAAGCGUCUGCCAUCCACGGAGUUUGGCAAAGAAGAUGAAAAGAAGACACUGUAGGAAAAAUGAUUAUAAUGUUUUUAAGGAAAUUCCAAGACAAUAGCUAUUAUAAGCAAUGCAUCUUAUGGAGUGAUAAUAGAUUUUGCUUUCUUAAAAAUGGUGACAGGUUCUUGCUCAAUAAACAGCAAGAGAAAGAAUUGGUAUAAAAACAUUGAAGUGACAAAUACAACUUCAAGAUCUCAUUUCUACAAUUAUUUCUGCAGUGUUUCUGGCCUGGUAUUUAAAUUCAUUGUCAAACUUGGAAAAGUCUAAUGGAGGUCACCAAGUUGGUUGGCGCUUGAAGACUUGUCCUGUGAGCAGAGCUGAAGGGAGCUGGGCUUGUUCAGCCUGGGUAAAGGACAGCUUCAGGAGGGUCCCACGGCAGCCUGGCCCUACCCACCUGGAGGGUAUUCAAGGAGCUGAGAUGGGCUCCCCAUGAUAAGGCACAGUAGGAGAAUGAGAGGCAGGGGUCAUAAAUUGAAAUAAUAGACUUCAGUUGGAUAUAGGAAAAGAAACUUCCUGAGGACAGUCACGAGACCACACUGCCUGGAGAGCUUCUUCAGUCUUGGAGAGUUCAAGGCCCACAUGGGUAAAGCUCUGAGCAGCCUGGCCUGAACUCACAGAUGACCCUGCUUGCAGCAAGAAGUUGGGCAGAGGGUAUCUGAAGUCUAUCCCAAAGUAGUUGUUUCUGUGAUUCUGCUUCCCUUUUCACAGCAGUUUGCCAGGAUUUCUAAGGAAUAUUCACUGUCUAAACACAAAUGAGAUGAUAUUCACUGCUUUAACUGCAUCUGUUCUUACAAUGAAACAAGCUGAUUGGGCAGUCCAUAUUCAUAUAUCCAGGUGAUAAGACCCUAGAGACCACCAUAAAACCGCCAGGGAGAAAAGCAAGUCAUGCUUCUUACUGUACAAGACUAAAUCCUCUCACAAGCCCGUCCCCUGGCAGAAAGAUGGGCUUUUACAUUAAGUGGUGCAACACCCUGGAAAAUGAGUAGUGACUACAAAUAAUUCCUGCAAAUGGAAUUAAAAUCCCUCACAAGUCUGUCCGAUCUCUGCUUCCAAAGUGCUCCCAUUCAUAUUAAUCUAUUCAGAAGAUCACAUUACUCCUUCCCUGCAAGCGCCUCCAUUCACACCGGCACUCAUCCAGAGUUAUGCUGAGAACAUAUUGCAGAAGUGUGGCAUUUCAGAGCUAGAAAACAUGUGUUAACCAGACAGACAGUUCCAAGAAGAGAACACAUGCAUGAAGUUUAUACUGCUCCAUACAUGGUGGAAAAAUCUAUGUUCCCCACAGCACUACAUCCCCAGUCCUUUUGCAACCACAUCUACAGGGUGAAAAGCUUCAGGCCAUCAGAAAAUUUGUGCUUCCUCUGCCUACAGCAAGAACAUAUCACUGUCUGUAAGUAAUGCAGGUUGUUAAGAAAAAGAGAAUAUUUAUUUAAGCACAAGAUUUUUAAAUAGCACAGUAAUGAGCUUGAGCUGGCUAUGUAUAUUACAUUUCCAUGUUCGUUAUGAAAAUUAAUGUCAGCUUAAAUACAUGCAUCCAUUUAAAAUGUAGAGAACCUUUUGCAAAUGAAAAAUAUAUUGAAAAGAAAUUGAAAGAGAAAAUAUUUUGUUAUAAAUCCACAGAAGAAAUCUUAUCUGAAUUACUGACUCAAGUCAAAGAGGCAGAUAAGAAUAGAAGCCAGUAGAAUCUUGACAGUAAGAAGUUUGACCUAGUUUUCCUUCAGAAUUGGAAGGUCACCUAGUCAAGUAUUAUACUAGUAUGGUGAUCCAGUGUAUUUUCAAAGGCAGAAUGGCUUGUACAAAUAAAGGAACAGCUACAUCCACAGAGUAAUGUACUGUUAGGGGCUUUUAUGCUGAAAGACUUUGUUUUAUCAAAUUGAUUGAUACAGAUUUCAUUAAGUGCUCAAAAAAACAUAAAUGUUCUUGGGAUUCUCUAGCUGCUGUCUCUCUCACUCUUCUAGUUUGUGGAUAAGCAGAAAAAGAAAUUCAUUCCUAAAAGCAAAAGAAAAUUAUUUUAUACAGAGUAAUAUGUUCAAACUACCAGAGCAAAAACAAAAACCUAAAUGGAAAAAGAACCACAGCGAUCCCAUUUUUAGGAUGUAAUGAUCUUUUCAUGACUGAACAAUUUAAUACAUAUGACUUGCAAUUUCUGUGCCUGGCUCUGUCAUCUUUUUAAAUGACAUUAAACCUCAGUGUCAAAAUUCCUAUUAAGAAAGAGGCUUUUAUUGAGGAAAAGAUAAUAAAAAUCAGGUACAUUAAUAAGCUGUAUGAAAAGCUUCAUUCCAGAAACAAUGAAGCUCAUAAAAUGAGUUUUGCAAUUUAUAUUCACAUCCUAAAGCAACCAAGCACUUUAAUACACCCGGAUCUGACCAAGAGUGGUUUACCAGCCAUCGGUCAGAACUUAAUAAAAUUUUGUAUAAACCUAACGUGUGAUAUUAGGUCACCUAUAAAUAGGACAGCAGAGUUUCAAAUUACAUUUCUUCUUCCUUCAGAAACACUGAAUGUAUAGAAAACAAUUUUGUGUUCCUUUAAGUCCUUGGAAAUCCCUAAUGAAGCCCAUGCAGUCCGUGAGUACAAAGGAUCAUUUUUGAGUAACAACUGGGGAUGGGAUUUCGUGCAUGGUAGCAAUAUACACUGAACAGCAGAGCUGAAGUUAUAAAUAACCUCAUGGAUCUAGAGUCACUCCAGAACCUGCUAAAAACUGUUGCUCCUGAACUGUUGCUCGAGAUUCCCAACCCACCUCCUCAAUGCCUACAACUGACAUGUGAGCAUCUGGACCAACAUCAUGGCAAUAUGAAAAUGGUAUUACCUGUGUCAACAAGCAUCCACUCAUAGCUCUGCCUAUUGAUUUCUGCUACCAUUUUGGAACAUAAUUUUAUUUCACUUAUUGGAUUUUGGAAAAGAAUUAAUGAGAUAAGUAUCUGGUGUUUGAAAUAAUCAUUUGAGAUGAAAAACAGGAACAAAAAGCUACCAUAAUAUUCAUAUUUAUUUUAAAGCAGUUUACUUGGUUACAUACAAAUACAAUAAACAUAUCCUUGGAAUUUU